rnacentral:rRNA from 1 species
UUGGGGAAUCUUCCACAAUGGACGAAAGUCUGAUGGAGCAACGCCGCGUGAGUGAAGAAGGGUUUCGGCUCGUAAAGCUCUGUUGUCGGGGACGAAUGUGCAGUAUUUGAAUAAAGUACUGCAAUGACGGUACCUGACGAGGAAGCCACGGCUAACUACGUGCCAGCAGCCGCGGUAAUACGUAGGUGGCAAGCGUUGUCCGGAAUUAUUGGGCGUAAAGGGAGCGCAGGCGGGAAGGUAAGUCGGUCUUAAAAGUGCGGGGCUCAACCCCGUGAUGGGAUCAAAACUAUCUUUCUUGAGUGCAGGAGAGGAAAGUGGAAUUCCUAGUGUAGCGGUGAAAUGCGUAGAUAUUAGGAGGAACACCAGUGGCGAAGGCGACUUUCUGGACUGUAACUGACGCUGAGGCUCGAAAGCCAGGGGAGCGAACGGGAUUAGAUACCCGAGUAGUCC